GGCCUCAUGGCUCAGUGGUUGAGCAUUGGCCCCAGGAACCAAGAGGUCACUGGUUCGAUUUCUAGUCAGGGCCC
rnacentral:tRNA from 1 species